UCGAUCUUCGCCAUAUCCAUUAGCCAACGACCUUCCCAGCCGUGGGUCGCAGGUUCGAAUCCUGCAGGGCGCACCA
rnacentral:tRNA from 1 species